UCCGCCGUGCGUGACUUUCCUCGUCGCGUCCAGCUCCCCUUUUCUUUGACCUUACGUGACCUUGGGAAAAACCUCCAGGCUGCUACCCCAUCUGCACAUGGGAGGGCCGGGGGUAGGAGCCGCGACCCCUAAGGGCUCCACCGCCUUCUGCCCGGCCAGGGUCGUGCCUGGCGCGCCCCCGCUCCAGCUGACCCGCGCAAGGGAGGGAGGGGCGGACGGAUGGGGACAGCUGUUUAGGAGCGCGCACUGCGCCCAUCUCGGCCUCAACACUCAUGUUUCCACUUCGUUUCACGACCACCAGCCACAGUGGACACGAUGAUCCCCAGUUCACCCGCCAGCAAAUCAGGGCUCAGAGAGGUGGCCUCAAAGAGAGGAGCGGCCAGGAGGGAAGCCGGGGGUUUGCCCUGCGGUUCUUCCCACAUCUGGGCGGGAUAGAUUCGAUUGGGCCUCGGCCACCCCCACCGUCUCCGUCGGGGGUUCCAAGGUUUGGGGUCAUGACCUAGGGGGCUUAGGAGCCUGGGUCCAUCUCAACUAAUUUAUGGCCUCACUCGCCCCCAGCGGCUGGGAAUUCUAGGCCCAUUUUACAGAUGUGGACGCAGAUCUGGAGAGGGGCAAUGACUGCUCAACCCCCCACCCAUCCUCCCAGACACGACCUUCCACCUGGAAUCCCCCCACACACGUUCUCAGAGGCCAGGCAGCCGGGGUCUCAUGGUGAAAUCCCCACAUUCCAUGCAGGGGCUCUUUCUGGUUCCUUCCCUAGAAUGCUGUCCCUGCCCUUCCAGUACUAUCUCACCAGGGAGACCCUCCCACUCCCCCACUCCGCUCCAACCAAGCAAGGCCUCUGCCUCGCCCCGGUGGGAGGGGCCUCGUCCAGAGGGCACGCCCCUGCACACACAAUCAGCCCUGUCCUGGCUUCUCUGUGUGCCCCAGCCAGUCAGUCUGGGUGGAAGUCUUACCUGGGCCCUCUCAACAGACCUAGGCAGGCCUCUGUCCCCAGCCCAACGAGCUCAAUCCCUUAAGCACACACGCCACAGAGCAGUCCUGAGAGGCCAGGUGGACAGUACCAUGAGGCAGACAAAGCUGUGAGGCCCAGAGAGGGUCAGGCCACCCCAGCCCAGGUAGGCACUCACAUGUAUCCUGCCCAGGCUGCCAUGCAUGGACCCACCAGGGGGAUGACCAGACCCCACCAGCCCUGCCCCACCUCAGGGCGGGGGACGUUCCAGGCCACGCCAUCUCUCCCAGGGAGUCCAUGGCAACUGCCAAGCUUACAGCAGCCAGGUUGUCAGCAGGAGUAGGGGUAUAGAGGGCACUGGGCCUGGCAUCCGCACCCGCCUUUGCCUCAGCUCCACAUGUCUCCUCCUGUAUCUAGGCCUAUCUCCCUAGGGCUUCUCCCAUCUGCCGGUUCUGGAUGCCUCUGAGUACGAUGGUGGGGAGAGCAAAACACACAUACAAAGAGCAUCAUGAUGCCUGGGAGCCCGGGACCCAGUUGAAGGAGCAACACACGGCAGAUCGGAAGCCCUGCGUGCCUGUCCCCUCCCUCCCCAGCCAGCCUCAGUGUGAGUCCGCGUGCGUCUUUCCCACUGUAAGUGCAAGUGGCAGCAGACAUAGUAACACUCCCUGCCAUGGGGCUCCACAGCACUGCCUCACCUCAGCCUCUUGCCUUUUUCUCCUGAGGUCACUUUUAGAUCCAGCCCCAGGGGAACCCCCUGCUUUGGGUUGCAGCCGCCAUCUCUGCUGCAGUGUCUUCUGAUGAAAGCUGUCCCCUGUGGGCAUGAGUGUGGACAUGCUGCACCUCCUAAGGCAGCAGUGCCAAGGCUGAUGGUGCCCUCCACGGUGGUUUCAUGGCAUCGCUGCUGCACUAGAGGCUGCCCAGGGACGUGUGAACAGCUGUGAAGGGGCAGGUUCCUCAGGGAGGGAGGAUGGGCUGCGGGGAGGGUGGCUGGGGCAGGGGAAUGGGCAGAGCAUGACUUCCAAACACCUAGGAAGCCCCAGGUGGAGGGCGGAGGGGGGUCUUGCCAUCUUGGGAUAGGAGUUGACCUUUGACCCCAUCAUGCUCCUGCUGGGACCUGACCCAGGCACACUCCUCUUCCUCUGGGAGGGCUUGUCCCACCAGGGCAGGGGUCUGUGUGUGCCCAGGCAGGGAGCCACAGGCAGUAGGGGGAGGCUGGGGCUGCAAGCACAGAGGCCCCGGAAAGUGUGUGAGGACGCUGGGGAGUGGGAAGGGCCCUCGGAGGGGUGGUAUGGCCGGCUUAGGUUUUCUCGACAACUCUAGUUGAGUAUGCACUGCAGGGAGACGGAGAGGCCGCAGCCACUGAAGCCAACUGUGCUGGAGCAGGCGGAGGGCACCAGGGGUCCCUGGAGAGAAGUGCCGCCUCCUGCCAGGCCCCUGACCUAUAGUGCGCUGAUGGGCAAAAACGCUGACGAUGCAGGCCAGCUGAUAACCUGGAGGAGGCCGGCUGGAGUGGGGCCUGCCACACGUGAGGGGUACCCUGGGCUGGCGACAUGGGCAGUUCUUCUUG
rnacentral:lncRNA from 1 species